GGGGGGGGGGGGGAUCUGAUGUGCAUCAUUAUCUGAUGCCCUUUAGAUAGUUUCACUUCACUGGGGCGUGGCGCCAUCCCCCUGAUCGUAUCUGUGCUAAGAUCGGCCAUGUUGUCUCAAGACGAAGAGCAGCAGGUUUUAAAGACAGAAACCGUUGUGCCGGCUGACAUGGGGAACCCAAUCAGCCCGGCCUGCUUCUCUGUGGUUUAGUAGUUUCUCUUUUAAUAUUUACACCAGCUGUGUUAUGUCUGUUCGGGGCCGUUUCAUGGUAGGGGGAGCGUGAAAUAACACAGCUAAAGCGUCUGGUCACAGCGGUGGCGAGGGGAGCCUGUGUCCCCGGGCCUAACUUCUCCCCGCUGGUGAGCCAGCACAUCCAACUGCCCCCCCUCCCCCCCUUACUCCGCGCGCCUUCCUUCAAACGACCACGGCCGUUGCUGUAGGGCACGAGGAAUAGCAAACAGGCCAUGGUGGGCAGAGGGGCGGCAGGGCGGAUGUGGAGGGGCUAUGGUUCACAGAAAUUGGCGCUCGUCCGAGACUAGAAUAAAGAACUAAGAUGACCGGCGGGGAUGCCACACAUGAUGCAGCCGGUGCUGGUCCGUUGAGCAGCCAGGGCGAGUUUAUUUUUUUUGAGGGGUGGUCUUAAGGUAGUGUGAUAUGGAGGCUGGAUGAUUCGAGCAGAGUGCCACUCAGAUCGGGUCAUUAAACACUUAACGUGAAUCCUGUGUUUUCUUUCGAUUUGGCAGAUAAACCCUGCAUCCUUUUUCCCGCUCUUUUGCGGAAACGGGAACCGAGGCCGGCUAAUAAAGAAAUGUGAUUUCCCCUUCGUUGGCUGAAGGCUUGAUAGCUUGUUAGCUCAAGGCAGCGACUAAGGAAUAUUCACUCCAAUGGGUAUGUUAGGGAAUGGCAUGUUAUAUUUUUUGCCAUCUGGUCUUCGGUUUUAUCUAAAGUGCCUUACGGUACCCUGAAUGCAUACUUGUCUUGUUGUGGUGGUCCCUUUUGAGGAAGUACACACAUCCCUGGUGGUGGUAAUUAUCCUAAUCUCAGCCAAUUGUGCGAGACAGGACAUAUAAGGAAGGCUUUGUCUUGGGCUUGUAUUUUUCUGGACAGUUCUGCCAAGUAUCGAAACGAGGGAAUCUACAGGGAAAACCGACAGACGGCGAAUACCCCGAGAAGUGACAAAUCGACCGACGAGGGAAGGAAGACUCAUAGGAGCGGAGACUGCGCUCUGAUUGAGUGAAGAAACCCACACCUCUUUUACAGAACCAUGUGUUGGAGGAGAGAAGGCGGAGAUGCAGAAGGUCGGAGGAGGUAUCAGAGACGUCGAGACACCUCAGGGGCAUGUCUCUUCAGCAGUAAUAAACCAACACAGAGACCCUAGGCUGAGACCAGGGGAACAACGCACCAUGCAGAAUGGAUAGCACAGCCCCAGGGCUACUGCUAACAAGCUGCUAGCCCAAGGCUAAAUUGCUUGAUUGCAGAGCAAGUCUAAAUAUUAAAUGGCCUCUAUCUCCCUACGCGCUACCAUGUGGAUUAGCCAUUCACAAGCCAUUUCAAUAGCCAAUUUAUAGUGGCAUAAGCAACAAGUGGGUGUCUCCACCGCAGAUUUACAAUCAAUAGAUCAGCUUUUACCGGUUGAUACUGUUCACUCGGUUACGCUGUUGAUUUUACGUUGAACAUUCCCACGUGAUGUCACAAAUGGGUUGAUGUUGAAUUGACUUGUGAAGGCUUAUCCAAGUCACAACUGGUGGUUAAAAACAACAGCAAUGCAGAACAUAUUCCACUUGAGACAUCUGGCCACUCUUGCACAGACAAGGAACAGUACAAUGCAGUUCAUCACAACAAAACAUUCACUCUGCAGAGCACAUCACAUAAAGAAGCACUUGUAAGAAAUACAGGAAAAAACUGUUGUAGCUUUGAAAACAAUAAAUGUUAAAGGGACCUUCAAAUGAUUUUGUCAUGAUUAAUAAAGGCAUUAAAUGAUAUUCUGCCUUUGUUGUUGUUGCUAAGUGGGUUUUUUUAAAUUUGGAAUUUAGUUUUUCAUUUUGUUUUAACCCUCUGAGUCUUCGUUUCGGGGAUGAGGACAGGGGGGAGGGUUCAGGGACGAAAAGGAGUUAUCACAACUUAAGUCGUUUAAGAUCUUUAGGAAGUAAUUAGAUCUUAGUUACCUAUUUAUUUUUCUUAAUUCUCGCGCACAAAACCUUCGGGGGCUAUUCAACCGUUCUUCAAAAAAGGUACAAUUUCAUAAAAAACCAAUUGGGUUUGUCGGUUGACAGAGAAAGUAUUUCCUUCCCUAACCUUUUAGAUAAAAAGACUAGAGGAGGAUCAGCUGGGCACGAUAAAGAGAAAGCUCUCAGUAUAGAAGUUGGUGCGAAUGAGGUUUGAUUUGCCGUUCGGUGGUCAGAUUCUGUUUAGAGCUUACAUUUUUUAAACUGACACUGUUUCCAUACCAAAGCAAAACAACAACCCGUUAACCCUUUGAGAACAGAAAACUACUGAGACCUGCAAUAUAGAACCAUUUCACUUGAGCCAACCCUUUUUGUUCCAACUUAUGUGUAACUUCUUUCAUUGUAGCCAUCACUUUUGUUGAAGCUAAAUUAGAGUAUGAGCUGUAGUGUUCACCCACUCAAUCACCCCAAAGCUUUCCAUUCUCCCCAAAUCAAUUGGGUCGGUGGAAAAAGGGGUGAAAAUAAUCAGAAUCUGAACAAAAGUGAUGGCUGCAGUGAAAAAGUACAGUGCAGGCCCAAAGUUAGAUUAAGAAACUUAAUGCUUACUAUUGUCGAAAAAGUACCACUUUGUCUGUUUGUGUUUCAAUCAAAUGUAUAGGCAAGUGUGUCCAUUUCAGUAAUGAAAGUAGUUACGUAAGUGUUUGUUGGCAUCAAGUUUUGUGUCAAGUCUUUUUCACGUGUGUUUGUCACUUUGUCCCUACUAACUGCUUCGGUGAGUCUUUAUCUGGAAGUAGAAAGAGAAUAAAACAUUCUGUUCAUGAGUCUACUUAGCUAUUCGUAGUGCACACAAACCCAUUCCGUAAAUGGGGUGAGUCAUCUUUUAUUGAUUAGAAUUCUUCAAUCAAAUUUCAUCUACCAGGAGAUUUAGUCAUUAAUAUCUUUAUUUUUUGUAAUAUCCUGACUUGCUUCUUGUUGCUGCUUCGUGGCAGUGAGAGAGUUGAAGGAUGUUUGGAGGUAUGUUUUGUCGUCAUGAAAUAAAUAUCGUCGUUCCGUUUA